CUUGAGGAGCAGCAAGCAGCGCUGUCUUGCUAAGAACAUGCAACAGCAAACAGAGAAUCCUGCAGAGAGUGAUCGGGGUUUGAACACACUGAGGGCCUCUCCCUGUCUCAUCAGCCCGCUUUUUACUUCCAAACUGGAGAGGAAGAAGUGGCAGGAUGACAAAGGCUGCAACUGCCUUUUCUUCUCCUUAAGCAGGCUGAAAAAUGACAUAAUGGCAGUCAAGCUCAGUGAAGCUGGACUUCUCAUUUGGAUCAAUCACAGCAAGAAGGCAGCCAGUGGUUUCUGCAGCAGAUGUUAUUACAGGACUGAGCAGGAUUGCAACAUCAAGCUAACUCAUUGUCUCCAUUAAAAAGCUGAACAGGUUUACGAGUUGUACAAAGAUUCCUUUUCUUGCAGAAUGAGACACACAGAGCUCAGGUUUCCUGCUGGGACUGCCACUCUGGGAUGACUUUUCUGAAGAUGCAGAACUUAGCUCAUUAGUGAGCAUUGAACCAAACAGGAAUUGUUCACAGUGGCUAAGUUCAGUGUCUGACAUGAAAGAAUGAGCUCUUGCAUACCUGAGAGUCUUUGCCGUCCCCAAACACAGAGGAAGAAGGAUGCACGGGAUGAAAAAGCACCUGAACUGUAAAACUAAGAGGAAUGCUUUAAAAGUCUUUGCAUGUCCAGACAAACAUAUGCAGUCAGUUUAUUUUGAUAUAUGGGGGUUUUAUGGAGAAGAAGAAGGGAAAAGGGCAACAAUGAAUGACGGAUGGUCUAGCCUGUGAUUUGUGAAGUUCUUUCAACACUGUAUGUCUAUUUUUGUAGGGAUUAUCAAUGAAAUUUGUAAAAUGUCUAAUGCAAAAAUGAUUUCUGCAACAAACCUGCUUUUUGUUUGCUUUUCAGAAUGUAAAAUAGAACCACAUCUCGUUCAAAUUCAUGCUAUCAAUCAUUUUGGAGAGUGUGAUAAUGAGGCAUUUUCUGGGUUGCGUACUCAUGUGCCUACUGAACUGGAUUCAGUGUGUCUUUGCAGAACUGGCUCAGUCCAGCAGGAACAAGAGUGACACCUAAGACAUCAUCAGUGAUAACAGGGCCAUCAUCAUUGUCCCCAUUAAAUCGAUCAGAAGUAAGACACCAAAAAUGAUCACAAACAGCCUCAGUACCAAGUAUUUCGUCAGGAAUGGUGACAUAAAAAAUGAUGCGUGUGUUCCUCCAUCUCAGCGUGCGUGUGUGUGUGUGUGUGUGUGUGUGUGUGUGUGCGUGUGCGUGUGCGUGUGCGUGUGCGUGUGCGUGUGCGUGUGCGUGUGCGUGUGCGUGUGCGUGUGUGUGUGUGUGUGUGUGUGCGUGUCGUAAUUUGUCUUCCUGUGUGGGGGUAUGUGUCUGCCUGCACGGGAAGUCGUUAUCAACAGCAGCUGAUUUGUGCUGAGUAACACUUUACGUUGCCUCUCUUCAUUCCUCACACUAUAAUAAGCUGUCAGUGUGUCUGCAAGUGUCUUCACAAAAUUGGGAUACAGCAGCUCAACACCUCUGCAGUCAUUAUAUACCUGAAUGGGCAGGCGCCGCAUUAGCAUAAGUAAAACUGAUCAUCAUGAGACAUGCUAUUGAUUUCGGAUGCCCUCAGUUGUCGAAGUGCCAUGUGAACAAUUACUUUUCACCUUGGACCAUCUUCCCAUGGACUCAUUCAUUAAAAAAUCUGCAGAGAUGUGCAAAAACUAAUAUAGCUUGCUCAAAAAGAAGAAGGUCUGAACUGCAAUAAAAUUUCAUAUUGAUUUUCAUUAAAUCAGUCCACACAUCUGUGGUGCACAACUAAACUGCAAGAGAGCGUCCAAGUAUGGAAUUUUUAUUUAAUAUAUAUGUGAUGACUUUUGCUGCUUCAUGGUACAAUUUACAUCAUUAUUUACUGUCUGCAGAAGGUGUGAAGUGCAUCGAAGAAGUCUUUUCUGUGACACUGUGGUUAACAGUAAGGAAAGGAAAGAAACUGGUGCACAUUUGUGCAAGUUUGACAAAACAGCCAGUUGCAGAGCAGCAGUAGCAGCAGUGAGUCAUUAACUUGUGUUUAGAUGUAAAAAUGAUUAACAGAUGAUAAACUUUACAAAGACAGAUUUUAUGUACAAGCUCACUGCAGAUAUUCAUUUGCAUAAUGCUGCCACGCUUGCACCUCACAGGCGAGUAUCAGCUUGGAUUAUUUCACUGCAUUGAAUGAAUUUGUGACACAGCCUCAACUGAAACACACAGAGUUUCACAGGGGAACAAAGGUUAGGUUUAGAUUUGAACUGAUUUGCAUAAUAGCAUGAAUGUGUUGGUUUUAUCACUUCCUCCUGUAACCGAUGGCUUCUCUUCUCUGUGUUGUAUUACUUCAGCCGACACAUACGCCUUUUUUUUUGGAGGCGAUCUCCAUGUAUUACAGCCCUUUACAGUCAAUAAAAAUGACAAACAAAAU